rnacentral:rRNA from 1 species
UUAAGCGACUAAGCGUACACGGUGGAUGCCCUGGCAGUCAGAGGCGAUGAAGGACGUGCUAAUCUGCGAUAAGCGUCGGUAAGGUGAUAUGAACCGUUAUAACCGGCGAUUUCCGAAUGGGGAAACCCAGUGUGUUUCGACACACUAUCAUUAACUGAAUCCAUAGGUUAAUGAGGCGAACCGGGGGAACUGAAACAUCUAAGUACCCCGAGGAAAAGAAAUCAACCGAGAUUCCCCCAGUAGCGGCGAGCGAACGGGGAGCAGCCCAGAGCCUGAAUCAGUGUGUGUGUUAGUGGAAGCGUCUGGAAAGGCGCGCGAUACAGGGUGACAGCCCCGUACACAAAAAUGCACAUACUGUGAGCUCGAUGAGUAGGGCGGGACACGUGGUAUCCUGUCUGAAUAUGGGGGGACCAUCCUCCAAGGCUAAAUACUCCUGACUGACCGAUAGUGAACCAGUACCGUGAGGGAAAGGCGAAAAGAACCCCGGCGAGGGGAGUGAAAAAGAACCUGAAACCGUGUACGUACAAGCAGUGGGAGCCUCUUAAUGGGGUGACUGCGUACCUUUUGUAUAAUGGGUCAGCGACUUAUAUUCUGUAGCAAGGUUAACCGAAUAGGGGAGCCGAAGGGAAACCGAGUCUUAACUGGGCGUUAAGUUGCAGGGUAUAGACCCGAAACCCGGUGAUCUAGCCAUGGGCAGGUUGAAGGUUGGGUAACACUAACUGGAGGACCGAACCGACUAAUGUUGAAAAAUUAGCGGAUGACUUGUGGCUGGGGGUGAAAGGCCAAUCAAACCGGGAGAUAGCUGGUUCUCCCCGAAAGCUAUUUAGGUAGCGCCUCGUGAAUUCAUCUCCGGGGGUAGAGCACUGUUUCGGCAAGGGGGUCAUCCCGACUUACCAACCCGAUGCAAACUGCGAAUACCGGAGAAUGUUAUCACGGGAGACACACGGCGGGUGCUAACGUCCGUCGUGAAGAGGGAAACAACCCAGACCGCCAGCUAAGGUCCCAAAGUCAUGGUUAAGUGGGAAACGAUGUGGGAAGGCCCAGACAGCCAGGAUGUUGGCUUAGAAGCAGCCAUCAUUUAAAGAAAGCGUAAUAGCUCACUGGUCGAGUCGGCCUGCGCGGAAGAUGUAACGGGGCUAAACCAUGCACCGAAGCUGCGGCAGCGACGUUUAUGCGUUGUUGGGUAGGGGAGCGUUCUGUAAGCCUGCGAAGGUGUACUGUGAGGUAUGCUGGAGGUAUCAGAAGUGCGAAUGCUGACAUAAGUAACGAUAAAGCGGGUGAAAAGCCCGCUCGCCGGAAGACCAAGGGUUCCUGUCCAACGUUAAUCGGGGCAGGGUGAGUCGACCCCUAAGGCGAGGCCGAAAGGCGUAGUCGAUGGGAAACAGGUUAAUAUUCCUGUACUUGGUGUUACUGCGAAGGGGGGACGGAGAAGGCUAUGUUGGCCGGGCGACGGUUGUCCCGGUUUAAGCGUGUAGGCUGGUUUUCCAGGCAAAUCCGGAAAAUCAAGGCUGAGGCGUGAUGACGAGGCACUACGGUGCUGAAGCAACAAAUGCCCUGCUUCCAGGAAAAGCCUCUAAGCAUCAGGUAACAUCAAAUCGUACCCCAAACCGACACAGGUGGUCAGGUAGAGAAUACCAAGGCGCUUGAGAGAACUCGGGUGAAGGAACUAGGCAAAAUGGUGCCGUAACUUCGGGAGAAGGCACGCUGAUAUGUAGGUGAAGUCCCUCGCGGAUGGAGCUGAAAUCAGUCGAAGAUACCAGCUGGCUGCAACUGUUUAUUAAAAACACAGCACUGUGCAAACACGAAAGUGGACGUAUACGGUGUGACGCCUGCCCGGUGCCGGAAGGUUAAUUGAUGGGGUUAGCGGUAACGCGAAGCUCUUGAUCGAAGCCCCGGUAAACGGCGGCCGUAACUAUAACGGUCCUAAGGUAGCGAAAUUCCUUGUCGGGUAAGUUCCGACCUGCACGAAUGGCGUAAUGAUGGCCAGGCUGUCUCCACCCGAGACUCAGUGAAAUUGAACUCGCUGUGAAGAUGCAGUGUACCCGCGGCAAGACGGAAAGACCCCGUGAACCUUUACUAUAGCUUGACACUGAACAUUGAGCCUUGAUGUGUAGGAUAGGUGGGAGGCUUUGAAGUGUGGACGCCAGUCUGCAUGGAGCCGGCCUUGAAAUACCACCCUUUAAUGUUUGAUGUUCUAACGUUGGCCCCUGAUCGGGGUUGCGGACAGUGUCUGGUGGGUAGUUUGACUGGGGCGGUCUCCUCCUAAAGAGUAACGGAGGAGCACGAAGGUUGGCUAAUCCUGGUCGGACAUCAGGAGGUUAGUGCAAUGGCAUAAGCCAGCUUGACUGCGAGCGUGACGGCGCGAGCAGGUGCGAAAGCAGGUCAUAGUGAUCCGGUGGUUCUGAAUGGAAGGGCCAUCGCUCAACGGAUAAAAGGUACUCCGGGGAUAACAGGCUGAUACCGCCCAAGAGUUCAUAUCGACGGCGGUGUUUGGCACCUCGAUGUCGGCUCAUCACAUCCUGGGGCUGAAGUAGGUCCCAAGGGUAUGGCUGUUCGCCAUUUAAAGUGGUACGCGAGCUGGGUUUAGAACGUCGUGAGACAGUUCGGUCCCUAUCUGCCGUGGGCGCUGGAGAACUGAGGGGGGCUGCUCCUAGUACGAGAGGACCGGAGUGGACGCAUCACUGGUGUUCGGGUUGUCAUGCCAAUGGCACUGCCCGGUAGCUAAAUGCGGAAGAGAUAAGUGCUGAAAGCAUCUAAGCACGAAACUUGCCCCGAGAUGAGUUCUCCCUGACUCUUUAAGGGUCCUGAAGGAACGUUGAAGACGACGACGUUGAUAGGCCGGGUGUGUAAGCGCAGCGAUGCGUUGAGCUAACCGGUACUAAUGAACCGUGAGGCUUAACCUU